rnacentral:lncRNA from 1 species
GUGGCGGCGUGGCUACGCUCAGCUGCGGGAGGCUGGCCGGCUCCGUCCGUGCCAGUUCCCUCCGCGCUGGCACCCGGCCGGAGAGGGCGAGGUGCGGGGCGGCUGUGCGGGGAGAUGGACGCUUGCCACGCGGGGGCCAGGCUCGCAAACAAAACCCAGCGCCGCUUGCUGGCAGCCGGCGUGGGAAGGCGGCAGCCGCCGGGCGAAGGAGCGGUGGAGGAGCGGCCGGGCGCAGGCGACGCGGGCAGCGGCACAGAUCUCCCAUAAGAGCUAGAAAGAUGGUCUCCUGAAGUCUCCCUCAUCUUGGGUCACAUGCUCAUCUCUGAACCAACCGCUGAAGGGUCUGUGCAGCAGGCAUGGCCCCCAUACCAGAGGAAGUGCUGACACAGCUCAGGAAAGGUCAGAAAGCCGGCUGGCCGCAGAGCUGGGACCGAAACAGAGCUCAAGUGGCCCCCCACAUCUGGUUCCUCCCUGCUGGAGACAAAAGGCCACAGUGUCUUCAACAGGCCAGCCACCACUGCCUUAGGGAGAGGAAAGGUCUGGCAGCAGGCAUGAGGCCCGCCACCCAGGGGGCUCCUAGGAAGGUGUCUCAGCUACAGUCACAUCCUCCUCCCGGCCCACUAGCUCAUCUGAUCUCUGCUGACCUCACCUGUCCUUCCCGUGCUCCCAUGGGCAGCCCCUGGGAUCCCUGGGCCAGUGGAGGAGCAGGCUGCAGCCCUCUCAGGCAGCCGCCACCCCCAGCCAUGGCCUGCAACCCCCUCCCCAAGCCGUGGCUUGCUCACACACACACACCCCAAGCAGUGGCCUGCAGCCCCGCCUAGCCCUGAACAGCUCAGGUGUUCCAGCCGGGUGAGCGGAGGGAUACUGGCUCCAGACCCCAGCCCCUCCUGGAGCCCACCUGAGACAGGAGGAGAGGCUGAAGAAUCAGCCCCCACCCCCACCCCCUGGGACCUGACCUGCGGAAGCCAGUGCUCCUGGCACCCCCCAGGCUCCGGCCCGGCCUCACCCGCAGCCCCUUACCCCUCAGGCUCCUUGGCCACUGCCCCCACCACCGGAUGCUGUAAGCUCCUCCCCACCUGGAGUGUUGGACACAUGCUGCGCCCAAUGGGCGUCCGGCCGCGAGCUCCGGGAGGCACCGUGGGCGAGGGAGCCGCCCCACGGGGCACCUGAAGGCGCUGCAGCAGGUGGAGGACGAAGGCUGGGGCCCGGUGAUGCCUGCGCCCACCCUGGAGGCCGGCCUGUCCGCAAGGCUCUGCCCUUACAGUGAGCUACCGGGGAGUGGGGCGCGGAGGGAAGGGCUGGAAGAGGGCCCGGGAAGGCAGGAGGCCGGUGCCCCCUGCAGCUCCAUCCCUGGAGGGGGGCUGCCUGGCAGGGAGAGGGGCCAGGCGCCCAUGACCCCUGGCCCCGGGCCGCCCAGGGAUACCCUCUCCACGGAGAAGCUGGGCAUGGGGAGACCCAGGGUGCAGGCCCCCGUGCACCAGCCUUGGGGUGUGAGCUGCCUGCAGAGCGGUGCACAAAGGUCGGGCAGCCUUCUGGCACCUGGCAGGAGUACCGUGGAGGUCGGUGCCCCCACGCCCUGCCGCUCCCAUCCUGGCCUCGGGCUGGACAGACAGGUGGUGAGCAGCAAAAGCCUGCUGAGCCCUGCACCUCAGUGACGAUGCUCCCAGGGCUACCGCCAUCCCCGCCUCCCCCUCGGGAGCGCCCCUCUUCCAUCCCCCAGGACCUGGGGCUUUGGCCUCCAGCCUCCCCUCUGUCCUGAGUCCCAGAGCUUCCAGGGCCUGCAAAGAGUGAGGCUGCACAGAUGGGCCCGAGCUGCGGUCUGUCCACCCAGUGUGCAUGCCCUAGAUGGAUUGCCGGCCUCCUCAUCACCCUAAAGGGAAGCCUAGCCCCUACCGAAGCCAUGUGCCCGGUGCAUGCCUGCCUGCCUGCCACCGGUGUGGAGACUGCCCUCCAGCCUGCGGUGGGCCAGGGCCACAUGGCUAGCUCUCCAGGGUUUGCUGAUGGGUGGGACUAUGUUCCCCGCUGUGUGAGGCUCUCACUCCCUGGUGGCAUUUAGAGGGCUAGAUUCCAGAUUGUGCAGCAACACCUCCCAUCAGCUCAGUCCCUCCUCUGUUCUCUCUGAGGACAGGGAAACUACAACCAUGUAGGUCCUCAUGCUAAGGACAAUGUUGACCAGUCCUGGUGCUCAUCCUCCAGAAGACUGUGUUUUCCAUACCACCUCACUGUUUAGGGGGCUGGCCAAGCUCCGGAUGAUGGGCUGCAGGCCACUUCUAGGCCUGCCCCAUAAAACCUGGAGCUAGAGAUAAUUGUGGCUUGUGAUUUCACCAGGACCUGUCCACUUUCUCUGAAAAUAGCUAGUUGGUGGGGCCUCCCCUGCAUCCAGAACGCGAGCCUCAGGAGAGUCCAAGAUUGGCCAUCAGCGUUCAGCCUCUGCAAGUGGAAAGAGGGUGGGAGGCAGGUGGAGAGAGCAUAUCUAAGAUGCUUGCCUCAUCCACCCUGUGACUGCUUCGUAGCCACAUGCAUCCUUCCCUUCAGCUUUGAAAAGGUAAAUAACCACGCUAGUAACCCAGCCUGCUCCCACCUAGCCCAGUGUGGCUUCCCCGCCUGCAAGCUGGAAGACCCCCGCCCUCUCCCCACUGUGCAGGACUUCACUGAGCAUCCUGUGACCCACCCAGUCUGCCCCAGGAAUUCACCCCUGAUACGCUAGCUUGGGGCAUGUGGUGUUUUUCCUGUCCAGACGUGUCAAAGGAAAAGCAGCAAAGCUUUCCACUGGGUUCUACCACAGGAUAUUCAGCACUGGGUGAAUAUUAAAAUCCUCAGAAUAAAAUUAUAUAUGGAAUGACAACUGCCCAGGUACCUCCUGAGAUGGGCUCAGGAUCUCUAGGGUGGAGCCAUGCUUCUUUCUCUGGGUGAUUGCAAUGCCAGCAACAGUUGGAACUCACUGUCCUGCCAUGUGCUGCCAUUCAGGUGGGGACAGGAUGGACGAUGCAGACGUGCUCAUGGGCUGGUGGCUCGCAUAUGCGCACACACAUGGACAUUAUGUGACCACGCAGUCACGCAGGUGCUUGCCUCUGCACAGCUGUCCUGGAAGGAUGUGGGGACACUGAGGCCCUGGAGGUGAGAAACAGAAGGGACGUUUUGAUGGCUUUCUUUUUCCUUUUUUUUUUUUUUUUUUUUUUUUUUUGAUGGCUUUCUUGUACUGCAGUUUGUAGGCUCUUAAUCUCCAUUUAACACUAUUUUUUGUGUGUAUAAUAAAAAGAGUGCCUUCUCCAGAC